CGUUAGCGGCGGACGGGUGAGUAACACGUGGGUAACCUACCUAUAAGACUGGGAUAACUCCGGGAAACCGGGGCUAAUACCAGAUAACACAUGAAACCGCAUGGUUUCAUGAUGAAAGACGGUUUUGCUGUCACUUAUAGAUGGACCCGCGGCGUAUUAGCUAGUUGGUAAGGUAACGGCUUACCAAGGCAACGAUACGUAGCCGACCUGAGAGGGUGAUCGGCCACACUGGAACUGAGACACGGUCCAG
rnacentral:rRNA from 1 species